GUUAUCAUGACUGUUUUCACUAUUAAUAGCUGAUAAUACACCCUCUCUUUUUUUAUUAUUUUCAAAACUUUAUUCAUACAGGCAACUGUUAAUAUGCUGUUGAUGUUAAUAUCUGCAAGCUGGUAUUCUAAUCAGAUUCAUGUAGAGCAGAGAUGGUACAACUGCCGCAUUUUAGAAGAGUAUCAUAGGAGCAAGUUGACUCCAUAUAUUGAAAAAAGGAUUAUCAACAAUUCACCAAGUUGAGAUCGGCUCUUUGUUCUCUAUUCAGGUCCAUCUACACACUCAAAUGACAAUGAGAUUGGUCUUCAACUUACUAUUUUUCCUCUGUUUAGUAAGCAGGAGCAUAAUAUGCAGCAAUCUUCUAUUGAAGCUGUAGCUUGUGUUCUCAGCUCUUUUUUCGUAAAGGAUUGAUCUCAGCAAUUUAUGUCUUGAGAAGCAACCCUCUAUUUUUUUAUGUAAUACACAGCAAUAACCCCAAAAAAAAAUGGAUGUUAAUGUAAUUAUCGAAACCAUUUCACAUGUACUC